UUCCACCAACCUCCGGCCGACCACCGCCGCCACUGCCGCCGGCGGCCACCACCACUUGGCCGGAAAAAUCUUUAAAUUUUUACCACUUCUUCCUUUCAUCCUCCUCUACACAAAUCCGCAAACCAUUCAUUCAUAUUCAUAGCCAAACUCCGUAGAUCUAAGAAAAACCAAACAUAAAUUUUCACUUUUUUUUAGAUUUACGAAAAUUCGGCCGUUCCCGUCCUAUAUCCUUUACAUAAAAGUGUAGAGCUCUUCAAGGGCUAUCAUUUGAUGUAAAGUUUAUGUCCAAA
rnacentral:lncRNA from 1 species